GAUGAACGCUGGCGGCGUGCCUAAUACAUGCAAGUCGAGCGAACAGAUAAGGAGCUUGCUCCUUUGACGUUAGCGGCGGACGGGUGAGUAACACGUGGGUAACCUACCUAUAAGACUGGGAUAACUUCGGGAAACCGGAGCUAAUACCGGAUAACAUUUGGAACCGCAUGGUUCUAAAGUGAAAGAUGGUUUUGCUAUCACUUAUAGAUGGACCCGCGCCGUAUUAGCUAGUUGGUAAGGUAACGGCUUACCAAGGCGACGAUACGUAGCCGACCUGAGAGGGGGAUCGGCCACACUGGAACUGAGACACGGUCCAGACUCCUACGGGAGGAAGCAGUAGGGAAUCUUCCGCAAUGGGCGAAAGCCGGACGGAGCAACGCCGCGUGAGUGAUGAAGGGUUUCGGCUCGUAAAACUCUGUUAUUAGGGAAGAACAAAUGUGUAAGUAACUGUGCACGUCCUGACGGUACCUAAUCAGAAAGCCACGGCUAACUACGUG
rnacentral:rRNA from 1 species